rnacentral:misc_RNA from 1 species
UUUCCGUAGGUGAACCUGCGGAAGGAUCAUUACCGAGUUGGGGGCUUCUAGGCACGACUUCCCAACCUUUUUUUUACUGAACCAUUGUUGCCUCGGCGGGUCCGUAUUACGACCGCCGGGGGAUCCCCCCCAGGGGCCCCCUGGCCAGCGCCCACCGAUAGCCCAACCUUUAAAACCCUCUGUGAAUCGUGUCUUAUGUCUAAAUUUAUGAUUAAACAAUCAAAACAAAACUUUCAACAACGGAUCUCUUGGUUCUG